UACGUAGGGCGCAAGCGUUGUCCGGAAUUAUUGGGCGGAAAGAGCUCGUAGGCGGUUUGUCGCGUCUGCUGUGAAAACUCGAGGCUCAACCUCGGGCUUGCAGUGGGUACGGGCAGACUAGAGUGCGGUAGGGGUGACUGGAAUUCCUGGUGUAGCGGUGGAAUGCGCAGAUAUCAGGAGGAACACCGAUGGCGAAGGCAGGUCACUGGGCCGCAACUGACGCUGAGGAGCGAAAGCAUGGGGAGCGAACAGG
rnacentral:rRNA from 1 species